GAAAUGCGAUACGUAAUGCGAAUUGCAGAAUCCAGUGAGUCAUCGAACUUUUGAACGCACCUUGCGCUUCCGGGUAACCGGGAGCAUGUCUGUUGGAGUGCCUGUUCUCAACCACAACAAAUCAUCUGUCUGAUGAUGCGUGUGUCGGCUUUGUCUUUUGCUUGUUUGUAGCGAGGACAUUGCAUGAGAUGACAGGUUUCAAAUUCCGCAGUUCCCCAAUUGGGAGUUGUGAAUGUCGUGUGGAGCAAUUUCAAACAAAAGUUCUCCCCACUGUUCAUUCGAUCAAAGCAACUUUCAUGUCAAGCGGGUCUACUGCAGUGAAUUUUACCCAAUUAUUUGUAUCGGGCCUCCAAUCAGACAAGAAGACCCGCUGAAUUUAA
rnacentral:misc_RNA from 1 species